AUCGCUUCUUGGCCUUUUGGCUAAGAUCAAGUGAACUGCCUUCCGCACUGAUGGGUUUCAAGAAAUUAUUCACAAUCAUAGAGUAGUUCUUCCCAUUCGGAUUUUUUUAUUUUUUAUUUUUACCAAAUAUCAAGUGAACUCUCUGCAAAAUGCACUUGUGCAUUUUUAAUGGGGACUUGCGGGACUCCUGUGAAGGUUAAUUUUA
ensembl:snRNA U2 U2 spliceosomal RNA